AACGAACGCUGGCGGCAUGCCUAACACAUGCAAGUCGAACGAGACCUUCGGGUCUAGUGGCGCACGGGUGCGUAACGCGUGGGAACCUGCCCUUAGGUUCGGAAUAACUCCCCGAAAGGGGUGCUAAUACCGGAUAAUGUCUUCGGACCAAAGAUUUAUCGCCUUUGGAUGAGCCCGCGUUGGAUUAGCUAGUUGGUAGGGUAAAAGCCUACCAAGGCGACGAUCCAUAGCUGGUCUGAGAGGAUGAUCAGCCACACUGGGACUGAGACACGGCCCAGACUCCUACGGGAGGCAGCAGUGGGGAAUAUUGGACAAUGGGCGAAAGCCUGAUCCAGCAAUGCCGCGUGAGUGAUGAAGGCCUUAGGGUUGUAAGGCUCUUUUACCCGGGAUGAUAAUGACAGUACCGGGAGAAUAAGCUCCGGCUAACUCCGUG
rnacentral:rRNA from 1 species